rnacentral:rRNA from 1 species
UUAGUUGGUGGUGUGAAUUGUCUGGUUGAUUCCGUUAACGAACGAGACCUUCAUCUUUCAAUAGCCACUGGAAGAUAUUGCAUCAAGGCUAUAGGGGCCUAUUUGAGGAAGGAUACGUUCCCCUUGGAUAGUUGUAUCCUGUAGUUGCUUUUCUUCCAGGAUGAGCUUCUUAAAGAGACUAUUUGUGACAAGCAAAUGGAAGUUGGAGGCUAAAACAGGU